UACGUAGGUGGCAAGCGUUGUCCGGAUUUAUUGGGUUUAAAGGGUGCGUAGGCGGUCUCUAAGUCAGUGCUGAAAUAUCCCGGCUUAACCGGGAGGGUGGCAUUGAUACUGGGAGACUUGAGUAAAGUUGAGGUAGGCGGAAUUGACGGUGUAGCGGUGAAAUGCGUAGAGAUCGGGAGGAACACCAGUGGCGAAGGCGGCUACCUGGACCAGCACUGACACUGAGGCACGAAAGCGUGGGGAGCAAACAG
rnacentral:rRNA from 1 species